rnacentral:rRNA from 2 species
ACCUGCGGAAGGAUCAUUGUCGUGACCCUGACCAAAACAAACCGUGAACCUGUCACCUAUGCUGCCGGUUGAUGGGCUUGCACCUAUCUCUCGGUCUAGGCCACCGACCUUCUUCAGAAGGGCGGGGUGCCAAAAGAACCCACGGCGCCGUAUGGCGUCAAGGAGAACUAAUGUUGCCUUGCUUGGGGCCUCGGCCGGCUUGCCGGAUGCACCCCUUGCAGCGAUGCUAUGGAAAAUCACAUGACUCUCGGCAACGGAUAUCUCGGCUCUUGCAUCGAUGAAGAACGUAGCAAAAUGCGAUACCUGGUGUGAAUUGCAGAAUCCCGUGAACCAUCGAGUUUUUGAACGCAAGUUGCGCCCGAGGCCUUGUGGCCGAGGGCACGUCUGCCUGGGCGUCACGCCAAAAGACACUCCACCGCAAUCCCGGUCUGGACGUGGUGUUUGGCCCCUCAUUCCAUAGUGUAUGGUGGGCCAAAGAGGCGGCUGCCGGCGGUGCCGGUCACAGCAGAUGGUGGAUGGCACAAGUUAUUCUCGGUGUUGUGAUCCUGACGUCAUGUUAUGCCCCUUUUGGACCCAUGGUUUGGAGCGUACGUAGCUCGGACCGCGACCCCAGGUCAGUCGGGACUACCCGCUGAAUUUAAGCAUAUCAAUAAGCGG